GCUCUUCACUUCACGACUGGUCAGGAAACAGAAGGCACUGGACCGGAUUGUUCCCUGCUCCCCAUUCUGUUUUACCUGGGCCCCCAGAUGCCGGGAUAGUAUUGCCCAUCAUCAAGGAUCACCAUGCUGUGAAAAAUUUGGGGAGAUUUUACUUCCUGAUCCUUCAUUUCAAAUCCUGCCAGUCACAGAGAUGCUCAGAUAAUGUUGCAUUUCAUAGAUCUCAGCAGCACAGUUCAACACUCUGCUUCGAAAAACCAGAGUCUGGAGAGCUCAGUUUAAAUUUAUCUCAGUAGGCUUCCACUUGACUGGCAGACGCAUCUAAGCAUGAGUGGCAGACUAUAGCCUGCUCUGAUUGGCGGUGAGCCCUGAACUUCCUGAAAGCUGAUGUGGACCAGUUCAGUUGACAUGAAUGCUCCCUCUUCCUUCAACGAAGUCUGAUGAGUGCCCCAUUGCCUAAAUUGCCUCCCUACCUUUGGCUAGCCUUUCAACCUGCUUGGGCCUGGAUAACAACACCCCAAUGUCAGCUGGAAGUAGUUGUGGAAAAGAACACAUCGUCUCCCUGCCCAAAAUAGGUUGAAAGGCUAAGACAAGGAACUCCUUGGCAUGGGGAACAAAAUGACUACCUAUAGUGCCUGUUAAUAUACUAGGUCCAAAGUUGUCAAUUAAUGGAUUUAUUAACUUAAGUAGUUCUUAGGUCCCAAUAAUAUCUCCUUAAAACACUGGGCAAGCAGGACCCAAGAUUGGGUCCUAUCAUCAGUACUUAUGGAAGGGAAAAUGUAGGAAUCAGUCAUAAUAAGAUAAAUAUGAGCAGAUCACCCAAAAGAAGUUCUUUACUGCUGGGCGGUGGUGGUGUAUGUCUUUAAUCUCAGCACUCGGGAGGCAGAGGCAGGCGGAUCUCUGGGAGUUGGAGGCCAGCCUGGUC